GUCUCUCAAUCUCCCUAUCCCGAUCUCAACCCUCUCUCUCGAUCUCCCUCUCCCGAUCUCAACCCUCUCACUCUCCCUCCUCUCUCGAUUUCCAUCUCCCUCGAUCGGCCCCUCCACCCUUUGUCAUUUCUUUCUCUCUCAGACCCCACUCUCGAUUCCCUUCCCUCUCUCCGUGUGUCUGUGCUAGAAGCUGUCUUCCCCAUUUCUCCUUCCUGUAAUAAAGUGUCUUUUGGAAACUCUCAAUCCAAAAAUUGGUCGAAAGAGAGAUGGCGAACCAGCUAGAGAACCUAGUGCAAUCUAUAAAAUCGAAGGUCAGAUCUAUAAAGAAAUCGAAGAAGAAGCCGUGGUGAAAAUGAACAAGAGCUUGAGUGUCAAGGUUUUGUAUUGCAAAAACCCUAUUUCCAAAUUCCAUUUCUCCGCCAUUGGCCAUCGUGAUUUUUUUUAACAUAUUGAUCUGCUGCUCUAGAUCUGCCAGCCAUCUAGAGCAGUAGAUCAAUAUGUUAAAGCUGUGGCCCACAUCUUCUGUUGUUGAUCAAAUCACACUGCUGUUGUUCCUGGUGGUCAUUAACACUAUAUCAGAUUUGUUUUUCAUCUAACCCAUUGUUGCUGAUCGUGUGGGCCCUGUACAUCGUUUUAAUGAAUUCACUGCUCAUCGGUUUGCUACCCUUCGGAAAAGACGCAAAAGGCGCAGGUGGCACUAAGAUUGAAGCAAAGUGGGUAUUCAGCUUGCUGCUCUGCUAGUGAUACGGUCCCUUGUAUCAUAUGUUGUCAGCAGGUCAAAGUUCUUUCAACUGUUGGAACUUACAUCACAUCGGCGAUUCACAAAAUCCAUAUGGGGAAUGUGACUGUUCUCCAGCUCAAGCUAAAGUGAGGAAGACAUUUUAUACAAAUGUUCCUGAUGAAUACAUGCAAGCUGUCGAAGAUCUGGUUGUCCCAAGGACUGAAUUUGGUAAUGCAUCAGAGAAAGAGCAUUACCAUGUGAAGGUGCUUGACAAACAUGGAGUGACUCUUUCAUGCAAAUGUUCUGCAACAGAAGGUGGAAAACUGAGUACAUGAAUGAGAAAAGGCAGAGGAUCAUAGUCAUGAGCCAGGCCCCAGAUCAUUAGACGCCACCUCCACCUGUUAACGAUACCAAUCUGUACAAUGUAUUCAGACCAAGGGAGAAAGCCCAUCGGCUCCACACAAGAAGGAUGCAAAGGCAGGAGAACAAUGUUCAGUCCUUUGAAAAGCUUCGCCAGCACUUCUCUCUUGAAUGUGAUUUUAUUGGUCGAAAUUGCAUUGAUUUUGCUUCAGGUCAGGCGCAACUUGGACCAAGCCAAAACAAUAGUAGAGAUUUUAUUUAAGAGGGAAGAGGAGGCGAGAAGUCAUGGAGAGUGAAGUUAACCUUCAACGGAUUCAGGUCAAGUUUAAGGCCCAACAAGACAGCAGAUAAUGUGAUAUUAAGAGCUGAAAAUGAUAACCUGAAAAACGAGAAUUUCGGCUUCAAGCAGCGAUCUGUAACGUAGUCUGUCCCAACUGCGGUGGGCUGGUAAUCCUCGGAGAGAUCUCAUUUGAUGAGCAGCAUCUUCAACUCAAAAAUGCUCAGCUCAAGGAUGAGCUGGACCGCCUUUCUUGUCUCAUGGAGCAUGAGAAGCCAAUGGCACUGGAUCUUAUGUUUUCUCUAGGAGUGGAGCACAUGAGAAUUUUUUAUUUAUUUUUAAUGUAUUUGUGCAAUUGUAAACUUAUUGUUGUAAAUAAAUAUAAUUUUUAUUAUAAAGU